UACGUAGGGACCAAGCGUUGUUCGGAUUUACUGGGCGUAAAGGGCGCGUAGGCGGCAUGACAAGUCACUUGUGAAAUCUCCGGGCUUAACUCGGAACGGCCAAGUGAUACUGUCAAGCUAGAGUGCAGAAAGGGCAAUCGGAAUUCUUGGUGUAGCGGUGAAAUGCGUAGAUAUCAAGAGGAACACCUGAGGCGAAGGCGGGUUGCUGGGCUGACACUGACGCUGAGGCGCGAAAGCUAGGGGAGCGAACGGG
rnacentral:rRNA from 1 species